rnacentral:lncRNA from 10 species
UUCAAGGGCAAGAGGGGUAUAUACGUAUAUAUCAUCGCACGGUGUGUCCCGGAAGGCUUGAUAUGCUAGUCCCGCGGGACAAGGCGAGCCGAGGAGUUUGUGUGGAAGUUUGCAUCUGAGAGUGCGAGAGCUGGACGGAGUGUUACAGAGCCGCGAUGCCUUCUCGUUUUGUUUUGUUUUGUUUUUGAUACAGUGUCUCGCUCUUCCGCCCAGUCUCGAGUGCAGUGGUGAGAACACGGCUUACUGCAGCCUCAAAAUCCUGGACCCAAAAGAUCCUCCCACCUCAGCCUGCCUCCCAGGUAGCUGGGACUACAGGCGCACAACACCAUCGCUUCUUGGAUUAAAAGAAAAGGAUGAAACGGGCCCCAGAAAGAGGCGGUGACGUCCCAGAACCCAUGGCAGGGGAGUUGGGAAAAUAAAUAUUUGUAUUGUUUUAAUCUCCCUUGUGGCUUUUUUUAACCCCCGAAACAGCAAGGUAUUUUUAAAAGGGAUGAAGAGAGUUGCUUCAAAUGUUUUGAGACGUUGUUAUUUUUAAUAUGUGAGUGAAUAUCUUAGAAACAAAAUGAACAAGAAAUAAAAAUUUUAGAAAAUAUAUGA